rnacentral:rRNA from 1 species
UGCCGCGUGCAGGAUGAAGGCCUUCGGGUUGUAAACUGCUUUUGUACGGAACGAAAAGACUCUGGUUAAUACCUGGGGUCCAUGACGGUACCGUAAGAAUAAGCACCGGCUAACUACGUGCCAGCAGCCGCGGUAAUACGUAGGGUGCAAGCGUUAAUCGGAAUUACUGGGCGUAAAGCGUGCGCAGGCGGUUAUAUAAGACAGAUGUGAAAUCCCCGGGCUCAACCUGGGAACUGCAUUUGUGACUGUAUAGCUGGAGUACGGUAGAGGGGGAUGGAAUUCCGCGUGUAGCAGUGAAAUGCGUAGAUAUGCGGAGGAACACCGAUGGCGAAGGCAAUCCCCUGGACCUGUACUGACGCUCAUGCACGAAAGCGUGGGGAGCAAACAGGAUUAGAUACCCUGGUAGUCCACGCCCUAAACGAUGUCAACUGGUUGUUGGGUCUUCACUGACUCAGUAACGAAGCUAACGCGUGAAGUUGACCGCCUGGGGAGUACGGCCGCAAGGUUGAAACUCACAGGAAUUGACGGGGACCCGCACAAGCGGUGGAUGAUGUGGUUUAAUUCGAUGCAACGCGAAAAACCUUACCCACCUUUGACAUGUAUGGAAUCCUUUAGAGAUAGAGG